rnacentral:misc_RNA from 1 species
GGAAAUGCUGUUGAGUAUCAGCUUUGCGCUUGGCAUAAUUCUGUGUCUUGGCAGCUGAAACAGUUUUCGAGUUUGAUUGGAUCUUGAGGCGAUCGAAGCCAUUUAGAAUCCAGUCAAUGUAAAGGUUAUCUAUGAUGAAAGCUUGGAGAUCUUCAACUCUCUUAGCUCAUAGGAAUGUCUUUAAUGAACUCCAAUUUUGAACUGAUCAAAAUCUGUAUGAUGUUAGCAAUGGAUUAGAAACAGUGGCUUUCACAUAGCUACCGUUCUUUCCUU